rnacentral:rRNA from 1 species
AGUGGGGAAUAUUGCACAAUGGGCGAAAGCCUGAUGCAGCGACGCCGCGUGAGGGAUGACGGCCUUCGGGUUGUAAACCUCUUUCAGCAGGGACGAAGCGCAAGUGACGGUACCUGCAGAAGAAGCACCGGCUAACUACGUGCCAGCAGCCGCGGUAAUACGUAGGGUGCAAGCGUUGUCCGGAAUUACUGGGCGUAAANAGUUCGUAGGCGGUUUGUCNCGUCGUUUGUGAAAACCAGCAGCUCAACUGCUGGCUUGCAGGCGAUACGGGCAGACUUGAGUACUGCNGGGGAGACUGGAAUWC